AAUUUUUAACUGCCAAAAAAGUUCAGAGACAUAAUUUGGGACAUGUUAAAGUUCGAGUGAAUAAUUAAUAAUUAGCCAAAACUAAAAUAUGAACACACAACAAAACCCUAAAUUUGCAAAUCCAUCCUUUCUCUUUCUUCCCUCUCUUUUUCUUCUCCUAAAUCGGAGCACAGACAGACAGUACCAACUUAAGCACGUUUUUGGGAGCAUCGGCAUCUUCGACGGACGGUUGGGUUUGAAGGCUCUGUUCGUGGUCGGCAUCGUCAAAGGCUUGUGUGAAGGCUUUCCUCGAGAUUGACGAAGGCAGCUUAAAAUAGAAUCAUUUUUCUCUUUCAAUUCAAUUGUUUCUCAAAUUCAUUGUCGGAAAUUCCUCAAGAAUUUAGAUUUUCUAGGUUUUUUUCGCUGUCAUUUCUCUUCUGCAAAACCCUAGAACCCCAAACGUCCCAUUUCUGCAAGAAAGCAAGGGACUUUUGAUUUUUUACGAUGAGGAUGUUUCAGAGGUAUCGUUGUCGUUGGGAUGACUAUGAGUCUGCAACGUUGAAGAGAGAAGUAAAAUUCACGUAAUUGGGUUAUUUUGAGUACUGAUUUGGUAUUGAGGAACUGAACUCUAUUUGACAUGGACAAUGAAGUGAUUGAAUUUGAUAUUGGGUUGGGAGCAGGGGAAGGAGGUAGUGGAAGAGAAGGAGAUGAUGAUGGAUUGGAUAUGGAACACCAUGUUGAUGAUGAGGAGAUGGUUGAUAGCCCUCCUUUUAAUAGUGGUGGUGGUUUUGGUGGAAGUGGUGAGAUUUACCUUCCUGAGGGAGAUUUAUUGGAUCUUGAACCUUCUGAGGGGAUGGAAUUUGAGUCUGAAGAGGCUGCCAAGGCUUUUUAUAACUCUUAUGCUCGCAGAGUUGGAUUUAGUACCCGUGUUAGCUCGUCUCGCCGGUCUAGGCGUGAUGGGGCGAUUAUUCAGAGGCAAUUUGUUUGUGCCAAAGAAGGGUUUAGAAAUUUAAAUGAGAAACGUACAAAAGAUAGGGAAAUCAAGCGGCCGCGAACUAUCACCAGAGUUGGAUGCAAAGCUUCAUUGUCUGUGAAGAUGCAGAAUUCGGGGAAAUGGGUUGUGUCUGGUUUUGUUAGAGAACAUAAUCAUGAGCUGGUUCCGCCUGAUCAAGUGCAUUGUCUCCGUUCGCAUCGUCAAAUCUCUGGCCCUGCUAAGACUUUGAUUGAUACCUUGCAGGCAGCUGGGAUGGGUCCUCGUAGAAUUAUGUCAGCUCUUAUAAAAGAAUAUGGUGGAAUAAGUAAGGUUGGAUUUACAGAGGUGGAUUGUAGGAAUUACAUGAGGAAUAAUCGCCAGAGGAGCUUAGAAGGGGAUAUUCAAUUGCUCUUGGAUUAUUUGAGGCAGAUGCAGGCUGAAAACUCUAAUUUCUUUUUUGCCGUACAGGGUGAAGAGGAUCAGUCAUCAGGUAAUGUGUUUUGGGCUGAUCCAAAGGCAAGGACGAAUUAUAAUUAUUUUGGAGAUACAGUUACUUUUGAUACAACCUAUAGGUCAAACAGGUAUCGAUUGCCAUUUGCACCCUUCACAGGAGUAAAUCAUCAUGGGCAGCCUGUGUUGUUUGGUUGUGCUUUCUUGAUAAAUGAAUCUGAAUCAUCGUUCGUAUGGCUGUUUAAGACUUGGCUUACGGCAAUGUCUGGUCGCCCUCCAUUGUCAAUCACCACGGAUCAUGAUGCAGUAAUACGAGCUGCCAUAAUGCAAGUUUUCCCGGAGACCCGUCAUCGUUUCUGUAAAUGGCACAUAUUCAAGAAAUGUCAAGAGAAGUUAUCUCACGUGUUUCUUGAACAUCCAACUUUUGAAGCAGAUUUUCACAAAUGUGUCAACUUGACUGAGUCAAUUGAGGAAUUUGAGUCUUGCUGGUUGUCUCUUGUCGAUAGAUACGAACUCAGGGAUCAUGAUUGGCUUCAAACAAUAUAUUCUGCCCGCAGGCAGUGGGUUCCAGUGUAUUUGCGGGACACCUUUUUUGCAGAAAUGUCCAUAACGCAGAGAAGUGAUAGUAUGAACUCAUAUUUUGAUGGAUACAUAAAUGCGUCGACAAAUCUAAAUCAGUUUUUCAAGCUGUAUGAGAAAGCUCUUGAAAGCCGCAAUGAGAAGGAGGUGAAAGCAGACUAUGAUACUAUGAACACUUCUCCUUUCCUUAAGACUCCAUCACCAAUGGAGAAGCAAGUAUCAGAGCUUUAUACCAGAAAAUUGUUUGCGAGGUUUCAAGAGGAGCUAGUUGGGACCCUAACUUUCAUGGCAUCAAAGGCUGAGGAUGAUGGGGAGGUCAUCACGUAUCAAGUAUCAAAAUAUGGGGAGGAUCAUAAAGCUUAUUAUGUUAAGUUCAAUGUUUUGGAAAUGAAAGCAAGUUGUAGUUGCCAGAUGUUCGAGUUUUCAGGUCUUCUUUGCAGACAUAUUUUGGCAGUUUUUAGAGUCACCAAUGUGCUAACUCUUCCAGCACAUUACAUAUUGAAACGAUGGACAAGGAAUGCCAAAAGCAGUGUCAUAUUAGAAGAACAUUGUAGUGAUGUAUAUACCAAUUAUCUGGAGUCUCACACUGUUCGAUAUAAUACUCUACGCCACGAGGCCUUUAAAUUUGUAGAUGAAGGGGCGAAGACCUCUGAAACAUAUGAAGCUGCCUUGAUUGCUCUGCAAAAAGCUGCAGAAAAGGUUGAUCAUGCAAUAAAGAAUUCCAGCAAAUCUGCGAUGUUGAAUGGACGUUUUAGAGGGAAUUCAACUGUAGAUGCCAGUCGUGUAAAUCAUACUAGCAGAAAUAAGGAAGUGAGCUCAGGCCAACAUAUGUCAGAGGAUGAUAUGGACAAGCGAAUUCGAGAACUUACAAAUGAGUUAGAGAACGCAAACAAGAAGUGUGAGGUUUAUCGAGCUAACCUGCUUUCAGUUUUGAAAGAUAUUGAGGAUCAUAAGCUACAGUUGUCAAUUAAAGUGCAAAACAUUAAGAUUAGCAUGAAAGAUGGUCUUUAAAGAGAACCAAGGGAGGUUUGCAGUAGACUAUAGACCAUGGAUUUUGGUCUCAAAAUUUGGCACUUGGGAAGGCUUCCGUGCGUUUUAAGUUGUUUUCAGAUGGAUUCAGACAGUUUCACAUGAGGAAAACAUGUUUGAAUGGAUGCUUGCUAACGAAAGAAGGGAAGGCAGAUGUGAAAGUUUGCAUGGUGAGUUCUAGCUAGUUGGAUAUGGAAGAUUUUUUCUUCUGGGCUUCUUUUCAAGUUAUUUCCACAAAGCUAGCUACUAAUUCUUUUUUAACUUUUUUAGUGUAUUUCUUGAUUUGCCUGUAAAAUAAGGUAGUGUUCUUUUAACUAAUGACAACUCUCUGAUUAAAUUUAGGUUGUUUAGUUGUUCAAUAAAAUCUGCAAUUUAUUUCACAA